rnacentral:rRNA from 1 species
UAGAAGCAGCCAUCAUUUAAAGAAAGCGUAAUAGCUCACUGGUCGAGUCGGCCUGCGCGGAAGAUGUAACGGGGCUAAACCAUGCACCGAAGCUGCGGCAGCGACGCUUAUGCGUUGUUGGGUAGGGGAGCGUUCUGUAAGCCUGUGAAGGUGUGCUGUGAGGUAUGCUGGAGGUAUCAGAAGUGCGAAUGCUGACAUAAGUAACGAUAAAGCGGGUGAAAAGCCCGCUCGCCGGAAGACCAAGGGUUCCUGUCCAACGUUAAUCGGGGCAGGGUGAGUCGACCCCUAAGGCGAGGCCGAAAGGCGUAGUCGAUGGGAAACAGGUUAAUAUUCCUGUACUUGGUGUUACUGCGAAGGGGGGACGGAGAAGGCUAUGUUGGCCGGGCGACGGUUGUCCCGGUUUAAGCGUGUAGGCUGGUUUUCCAGGCAAAUCCGGAAAAUCAAGGCCG